rnacentral:rRNA from 1 species
AACGAACGCUGGCGGCAUGCCUAACACAUGCAAGUCGAACGAUGCCUUCGGGCAUAGUGGCGCACGGGUGCGUAACGCGUGGGAAUCUGCCCUUGGGUUCGGAAUAACUCAGAGAAAUUUGAGCUAAUACCAGAUGAUGACGUAAGUCCAAAGAUUUAUCGCCCAAGGAUGAGCCCGCGUAAGAUUAGCUAGUUGGUGGGGUAAAGGCCUACCAAGGCGACGAUCUUUAGCUGGUCUGAGAGGAUGAUCAGCCACACUGGGACUGAGACACGGCCCAGACUCCUACGGGAGGCAGCAGUGGGGAAUAUUGGACAAUGGGCGAAAGCCUGAUCCAGCAAUGCCGCGUGAGUGAUGAAGGCCUUAGGGUUGUAAAGCUCUUUUACCAGGGAUGAUAAUGACAGUACCUGGAGAAUAAGCUCCGGCUAACUCCGUG